rnacentral:sRNA from 1 species
AUUUUUGUAUUUUAAAUACUCACGUUUGUCGACACGCUUGGUAGGGUGCCUUUCUUGAUUAAUUUGAAGGGGGGGUUGCCAAGGGGGGCAGGCGGAGGCGUAAC